rnacentral:rRNA from 1 species
CGGGACGGGUGAGUAAUGUCUGGGAAACUGCCUGAUGGAGGGGGGUAACUACUGGAAACGGUAGCUAAUACCGCAUAACGUCGCAAGACCAAAGAGGGGGACCUUCGGGCCUCUUGCCAUCGAUGUGCCCAGAUGGGAUUAGCUAGUAGGUGGGGUAACGGCUCACCUAGGCGACGAUCCCUAGCUGGUCUGAGAGGAUGACCAGCCACACUGGAACUGAGACACGGUCCAG